UGCUACAACCAUACCACCCUGAACACAGCUGAUCUCGUCUGAUCUCAGAAGCUAAGCAAGGUCAGGCCUGGUUAGUACUUGGAUGUGAAACCACCUGGGAAUACUGGGUACUGUAAAAA
rnacentral:rRNA from 1 species